rnacentral:rRNA from 1 species
UACGUAGGGCGCAAGCGUUAUCCGGAAUUAUUGGGCGUAAAGAGCUCGUAGGCGGUUUGUCGCGUCUGUCGUGAAAGUCCGGGGCUCAACUCCGGAUCUGCGGUGGGUACGGGCAGACUAGAGUGAUGUAGGGGAGACUGGAAUUCCUGGUGUAGCGGUGAAAUGCGCAGAUAUCAGGAGGAACACCGAUGGCGAAGGCAGGUCUCUGGGCUGUUACUGACGCUGAGGAGCGAAAGCAUGGGGAGCGAACAGG